UGGGGAAUUUUGCGCAAUGGACGAAAGUCUGACGCAGCAACGCCGCGUGGGUGAUGAAGGUCUUCGGACUGUAAAACCCUGUCGUCAGGGACGAAGGUGUGCAUGUUAAUAGCAUUGUAUCUUGACGUUACUCGCAGAAGAAGCACCGGCUAACUCUGUGCCAGCAGCCGCGGUAAUACAGAGGGUGCAAGCGUUAAUCGGAAUUACUGGGCGUAGAGCGUGCGUAGGCGGAUAAUUAAGUCAGACGUGAAAGCCCCGGGCUCAACCUGGGAAUGGCAUCUGAAACUGGUCAUCUAGAGUAUGGUAGAGGAUAGUGGAAUUUCCGGUGUAGCGGUGAAAUGCGUAGAUAUCGGAAGGAACACCAGUGGCGAAGGCGACUAUCUGGGCCAAUACUGACGCUGAGGUACGAAAGCGUGGGUAGCGAACAGG
rnacentral:rRNA from 1 species